GCAUCGAUGAAGAACGCAGCGAAAUGCGAUAAGUAAUGUGAAUUGCAGAAUUCAGUGAAUCAUCGAGUCUUUGAACGCACAUUGCGCCCCCUGGUAUUCCGGGGGGCAUGCCUGUCCGAGCGUCAUUGCUGCCCUCAAGCACGGCUUGUGUGUUGGGCCCCCGUCCCCGGUUCUCCCCGGGGACGGGCCCGAAAGGCAGCGGCGGCACCGCGUCCGAUCCUCGAGCGUAUGGGGCUUUGUCACCCGCUCUGUAGGCCCGGCCGGCGCCAGCCGACACCCCAACUUUAUUUUCUAAGGUUGACCUCGGAUCAGGUAGGGAUACCCGCUGAACUUAAGCAUAUCAAUAAGCGGAGGAAA
rnacentral:misc_RNA from 1 species